rnacentral:rRNA from 1 species
UUAAGCGACUAAGCGUACACGGUGGAUGCCCUGGCAGUCAGAGGCGAUGAAGGACGUGCUAAUCUGCGAAAAGCGUCGGUAAGGUGAUAUGAACCGUUAUAACCGGCGAUGUCCGAAUGGGGAAACCCAGUGCAAUUCGUUGCACUAUCGUUAACUGAAUACAUAGGUUAACGAGGCGAACCGGGGGAACUGAAACAUCUAAGUACCCCGAGGAAAAGAAAUCAACCGAGAUUCCCCCAGUAGCGGCGAGCGAACGGGGAGCAGCCCAGAGUCUGAAUCAGCUUGUGUGUUAGUGGAACGGUCUGGAAAGUCCGACGGUACAGGGUGAUAGUCCCGUACACCAAAAUGCACAGGUUGUGAACUCGAAGAGUAGGGCGGGACACGUGGUAUCCUGUCUGAAUAUGGGGGGGACCAUCCUCCAAGGCUAAAUACUCCUGACUGACCGAUAGUGAACCAGUACCGUGAGGGAAAGGCGAAAAGAACCCCGGCGAGGGGAGUGAAAAAGAACCUGAAACCGUGUACGUACAAGCAGUGGGAGCACCUUCGGGUGUGACUGCGUACCUUUUGUAUAAUGGGUCAGCGACUUAUAUUCUGUAGCAAGGUUAACCGUAUAGGGGAGCCGCAGGGAAACCGAGUCUUAACUGGGCGUUAAGUUGCAGGGUAUAGACCCGAAACCCGGUGAUCUAGCCAUGGGCAGGUUGAAGGUUGGGUAACACUAACUGGAGGACCGAACCGACUAAUGUUGAAAAAUUAGCGGAUGACUUGUGGCUGGGGGUGAAAGGCCAAUCAAACCGGGAGAUAGCUGGUUCUCCCCGAAAGCUAUUUAGGUAGCGCCUCGUGAACUCAUCUUCGGGGGUAGAGCACUGUUUCGGCUAGGGGGUCAUCCCGACUUACCAACCCGAUGCAAACUACGAAUACCGAAGAAUGUUAUCACGGGAGACACACGGCGGGUGCUAACGUCCGUCGUGAAGAGGGAAACAACCCAGACCGCCAGCUAAGGUCCCAAAGUCAUGGUUAAGUGGGAAACGAUGUGGGAAGGCACAGACAGCCAGGAUGUUGGCUUAGAAGCAGCCAUCAUUUAAAGAAAGCGUAAUAGCUCACUGGUCGAGUCGGCCUGCGCGGAAGAUGUAACGGGGCUAAACCAUGCACCGAAGCUGCGGCAGCGACACUAUGUGUUGUUGGGUAGGGGAGCGUUCUGUAAGCCUGCGAAGGUGUGCUGUGAGGCAUGCUGGAGGUAUCAGAAGUGCGAAUGCUGACAUAAGUAACGAUAAAGCGGGUGAAAAGCCCGCUCGCCGGAAGACCAAGGGUUCCUGUCCAACGUUAAUCGGGGCAGGGUGAGUCGACCCCUAAGGCGAGGCCGAAAGGCGUAGUCGAUGGGAAACAGGUUAAUAUUCCUGUACUUGGUGUUACUGCGAAGGGGGGACGGAGAAGGCUAUGUUAGCCGGGCGACGGUUGUCCCGGUUUAAGCAUGUAGGCUGGUUGUCCAGGCAAAUCCGGAUAAUCAAGGCUGAGGUGUGAUGACGAGGCACUACGGUGCUGAAGUAACAAAUGCCCUGCUUCCAGGAAAAGCCUCUAAGCAUCAGGUAACAUUAAAUCGUACCCCAAACCGACACAGGUGGUCAGGUAGAGAAUACCAAGGCGCUUGAGAGAACUCGGGUGAAGGAACUAGGCAAAAUGGUGCCGUAACUUCGGGAGAAGGCACGCUGGUGUGUAGGUGAAGUCCCUGCGGAUGGAGCUGAGACCAGUCGAAGAUACCAGCUGGCUGCAACUGUUUAUUAAAAACACAGCACUGUGCAAACACGAAAGUGGACGUAUACGGUGUGACGCCUGCCCGGUGCCGGAAGGUUAAUUGAUGGGGUUAUCCGUAAGGAGAAGCUCUUGAUCGAAGCCCCGGUAAACGGCGGCCGUAACUAUAACGGUCCUAAGGUAGCGAAAUUCCUUGUCGGGUAAGUUCCGACCUGCACGAAUGGCGUAAUGAUGGCCAGGCUGUCUCCACCCGAGACUCAGUGAAAUUGAACUCGCUGUGAAGAUGCAGUGUACCCGCGGCAAGACGGAAAGACCCCGUGAACCUUUACUAUAGCUUGACACUGAACAUUGAGCCUUGAUGUGUAGGAUAGGUGGGAGGCUUUGAAGCGUGGACGCCAGUCUGCGUGGAGCCAACCUUGAAAUACCACCCUUUAAUGUUUGAUGUUCUAACGUUGGCCCCUUACCGGGGUUGCGGACAGUGUCUGGUGGGUAGUUUGACUGGGGCGGUCUCCUCCCAAAGCGUAACGGAGGAGCACGAAGGUUAGCUAAUCCUGGUCGGACAUCAGGAGGUUAGUGCAAUGGCAUAAGCUAGCUUGACUGCGAGCGUGACGGCGCGAGCAGGUGCGAAAGCAGGUCAUAGUGAUCCGGUGGUUCUGAAUGGAAGGGCCAUCGCUCAACGGAUAAAAGGUACUCCGGGGAUAACAGGCUGAUACCGCCCAAGAGUUCAUAUCGACGGCGGUGUUUGGCACCUCGAUGUCGGCUCAUCACAUCCUGGGGCUGAAGUAGGUCCCAAGGGUAUGGCUGUUCGCCAUUUAAAGUGGUACGCGAGCUGGGUUUAGAACGUCGUGAGACAGUUCGGUCCCUAUCUGCCGUGGGCGCUGGAGAAUUGAGGGGGGCUGCUCCUAGUACGAGAGGACCGGAGUGGACGCAUCACUGGUGUUCGGGUUGUCAUGCCAAUGGCACUGCCCGGUAGCUAAAUGCGGAAGAGAUAAGUGCUGAAAGCAUCUAAGCACGAAACUUGCCCCGAGAUGAGUUCUCCCUGAGACUUUAAGUCUCCUGAAGGAACGUUAAAGACGAUGACGUUGAUAGGCCGGGUGUGUAAGCGCAGCGAUGCGUUGAGCUAACCGGUACUAAUGAACCGUGAGGCUUAACCUU